rnacentral:rRNA from 1 species
UGGGGAAUUUUGGACAAUGGGCGAAGCCUGAUCCAGCAAUGCCGCGUGUGUGAAGAAGGCCUUCGGGUUGUAAAGCACUUUUGUCCGGAAAGAAAUCCUUGGCUCUAAUACAGUCGGGGGAUGACGGUACCGGAAGAAUAAGCACCGGCUAACUACGUGCCAGCAGCCGCGGUAAUACGUAGGGUGCAAGCGUUAAUCGGAAUUACUGGGCGUAAAGCGUGCGCAGGCGGUUUGCUAAGACCGAUGUGAAAUCCCCGGGCUCAACCUGGGAACUGCAUUGGUGACUGGCAGGCUAGAGUAUGGCAGAGGGGGGUAGAAUUCCACGUGUAGCAGUGAAAUGCGUAGAGAUGUGGAGGAAUACCGAUGGCGAAGGCAGCCCCCUGGGCCAAUACUGACGCUCAUGCACGAAAGCGUGGGGAGCAAACAGGAUUAGAUACCCUGGUAGUCCACGCCCUAAACGAUGUCAACUAGUUGUUGGGGAUUCAUUUCCUUAGUAACGUAGCUAACGCGUGAAGUUGACCGCCUGGGGAGUACGGUCGCAAGAUUAAAACUCAAAUGAAUUGACGGGGUCAUAGCUGUUUCCU